AUGGCCGGCGCGGCGCCGCACGUCAUGGUGCUGCCGUUCCCGGCGCAGGGCCACGUCACCCCGCUCAUGGAGCUGUCGCACCGCCUCGUCGACCACGGCUUCCAGGUCACCUUCGUCUGCACCGAGCCCAUCCACAAGCUCCUUCUUGACGCCCUGCAGCGGGACGCCGACGGCGACAGCGGCGGCGGUGAGGCGCUGGACGGGAUCCGCCUCGUCUCCAUACCGGACGGCCUGGCCGACGGCGACAGCCGCAGGGACCUAGGCAAGGUCCUGGCCGGGGUCUUGGGGCGCGUGCCGGGCUACGUGGUGGAGCUCAUCAGGGCGACGGAGGCGUCCGGGGAGAGGAAGGUGCGGUGGCUCGUCGCCGACUCCACCAUGGCGUGCUGCUACCAGGCCGCGAGGGAUCUCGGCGUCCGGGUCGCCUCCGUCUGCCCGGCGUCCGCGGCGUGCCUUGUCACGUCGCUCAGGAUUCCCCAGCUCGUACAGGAUGGCUUCUUCGACCACAAUGGUUUCCCGAAGAGAAACGGGAAGAUCGAGCUCGCCCCCGGUAUGCCGCCACUCUGCCCGACGCAAAUGGCAUGGAACAUCGACGGCGCGCCCGAAGGACGGCAGGCGGCUUUCGAGCUGGUGUUGGGGAUGGCUCAGGUAACCGGCCUCGCCGAGAUAGUCAUGUGCAACUCGUUCCUCGAGGCCGAGACCGCGGCGUUCGAGCUGUGCCCGGACAUAGUGCCCAUCGGCCCGCUGUUCGCCGACCAGGAGCUCCGGAAGCCCGUCGGGCAGUUCUGGCCGGAGGACGCGAGCUGCUUGGAAUGGCUGGAUGCGCAGCCCGAAGGCUCCGUCGUGUACGUGGCGUUCGGCAGCUUCACCAUCUUCGACCCGCGGCAGUUCCGGGAGCUGGCCGAGGGGCUGGAGCUCACCGGCCGGCCGUUCCUGUGGGUGGUGCGCCCGGACUUCACCUCCGGCGGCCUCAGCAAGGCGUGGUUCGACGAGUUCCAGAAGCGCGUCGCCGGCAAGGGCGUGAUCGUCAGCUGGUGCCCCCAGCAGCAGGUUCUGGCGCAUCCGGCGGUGGCGUGCUUCGUGUCGCACUGCGGAUGGAACUCGGCGAUGGAGGGGGCAAGGAACGGCGUGCCCAUCCUGUGCUGGCCCUACUUCUCCGACCAGUUCGCAAACCGGAGCUACAUUUGCGACAUUUGGAGGACUGGUUUGGGCGUGACGCAUGGCGAGGAUGGCGUCGUGACCAAGGAAGAGGUGAAGACCAGACUCGAACAGCUCACCGGCGACAAGGGAAUUGCGGAGAGGGCACGGGUGCUCGGGGAUGCAGCUCGCAAGAGCGUUAGCGAAGGCGGCUCCUCGUACGAUAAUUUCAAGAGAUUUGUUCAUCUCCUGACGGAGUGA
rnacentral:rRNA from 1 species